rnacentral:rRNA from 1 species
UAUUGGACAAUGGGCGAAAGCCUGAUCCAGCAAUGCCGCGUGAGUGAUGAAGGCCUUAGGGUUGUAAAGCUCUUUUACCCGGGAUGAUAAUGACAGUACCGGGAGAAUAAGCUCCGGCUAACUCCGUGCCAGCAGCCGCGGUAAUACGGAGGGAGCUAGCGUUAUUCGGAAUUACUGGGCGUAAAGCGCACGUAGGCGGCUUUGUAAGUAAGAGGUGAAAGCCUGGUGCUCAACACCAGAACUGCCUUUUAGACUGCAUCGCUUGAAUCCAGGAGAGGUGAGUGGAAUUCCGAGUGUAGAGGUGAAAUUCGUAGAUAUUCGGAAGAACACCAGUGGCGAAGGCGGCUCACUGACUGGUAUGACGCUGAGGGCGAAG